AUUGAAACACCAGUGCCCGUACAAUCACUGAAGUUAAGCAACGUCGAGCCUGGUCAGUACCUAGAUAGGUGACCGCUUGGGAAUACCAGGUACUGUGA